rnacentral:rRNA from 1 species
GGCUAGCGUUGUUCGGAAUUACUGGGCGUAAAGCGCACGUAGGCGGCUUGGUAAGUUAGAGGUGAAAGCCUGGAGCUCAACUCCAGAAUUGCCUUUAAGACUGCCGAGCUAGCAGGUGAGAGAGGUGAGUGGAAUUCCGAGUGUAGAGGUGAAAUUCGUAGAUAUUCGGAAGAACACCAGUGGCGAAGGCGGCUCACUGGCUCAUACUGGACGCUGAGGUGCGAAAGCGUGGGGAGCAAACAGG